rnacentral:rRNA from 1 species
GUAGUCUCGCACAGAUGCAUAUCAAUAAGCGGAGGAAAAGAAACUAACAAGGAUUCCCCUAGUAACGGCGAGUGAAGCGGGAAGAGCUCAAAUUUGAAAUCUUAAAGGGUUUCCCUUUACGAAUUGUAGUUUAAAGAAGUGUUUUCUGUUGAGGUUUUGGUAAAAGUUCUUUGGAAUAGGACAUCAUAGAGGGUGAGAAUCCCGUAUUUGACCUUUACUUUCAACUUUGUGAUACACUUUCAAAGAGUCGGAUUGUUUGGGAAUGCAGUCCAAAAUGGGUGGUAAAUUUCAUCUAAAGCUAAAUAUUGGCGAGAGACCGAUAGCGAACAAGUACCGUGAGGGAAAGAUGAAAAGAACUUUGAAAAGAGAGUUAAACAGUACGUGAAAUUGUCAAAAGGGAAGCGUUUGACACCAGUGUUGUUUUUCUGAAAAUCAAUUAAAGAACUGUUUAUGCUAAGCUGUUUAGACUUUAUCAGCUAUACUGUUUAGUUUUGAGCUUUUCUUUAAUGCACUUUUCAGUUAACAAGUCAACAUCAAUUUCUUUUGCUGUAAAAAAGCUUGAGGAAGGUGGCUUGAGAUUCGUCUUAAGUGUUUAUAGCCUCUUGCCUAUGCAGUCGGAGAGAUUGAGGUCUGCAGCGUAGAUCCUUCGGGGCUAAAUGCAUUUGUGCUAAGUUAUAGCAUUUUAUAGACAACUUGUUGACUAUGAUUUGUCUUGUAGCUUACUCGCUUAUGUUAUUUUACCUACGCUUAGGAUGUUGAAGACUCUACAGAGAUA